GGAAUCUUGCACAAUGGGCGAAAGCCUGAUGCAGCCAUGCCGCGUGAGUGAAGAAGGCCCUAGGGUUGUAAAGCUCUUUCAGCGGGGAAGAUAAUGACGGUACCCGCAGAAGAAGCCCCGGCUAACUCCGUGCCAGCAGCCGCGGUAAUACGGAGGGGGCUAGCGUUGUUCGGAAUCACUGGGCGUAAAGCGCACGUAGGCGGGUCAGCAAGUCAGGGGUGAAAUCCCGGGGCUUAACCUCGGAACUGCCUUUGAAACUGCUGACCUUGAGGUCGAGAGAGGUGAGUGGAAUUCCUAGUGUAGAGGUGAAAUUCGUAGAUAUUAGGAAGAACACCAGUGGCGAAGGCGGCUCACUGGCUCGAUUCUGACGCUGAGGUGCGAAAGCGUGGGGAGCAAAC
rnacentral:rRNA from 1 species